GACGAACGCUGGCGGCGUGCCUAAUACAUGCAAGUCGAACGAGUGGCGGACGGGUGAGUAAUGUCUGGGAAACUGCCCGAUGGAGGGGGGUAACUACUGGAAACGGUAGCUAAUACCGCAUACCAUCGGAUGUGCCCAGAUGGGAUUAGCUAGGAGGUGGGGAAACGGCUCACCUGGGCGACGAUCCCUAGCUGGUCUGAGGGGAUGAUCAGCCACACUGGAACGGAGACACGGUCCAGACCCCUACGGGAGGCAGCGGGGGGGAAGAUUGCACAAUGGGCGCAAGCCUGAUGCAGCCAUGCCGCGUGGAUGAAGAAGGCCUUCGGGUUGUAAAGUACUUUCAGCGAGGAGGCGUUACUCGCAGAAGAAGCACCGGCUAACUCCGUGCCAGCAGCCGCGUAAUAC
rnacentral:rRNA from 1 species